CGAAAACUUAGCUUCACCUACUUCAUACCAACCUAUCGGAGAUCGACAUCCUACCGAUAGAAUGCCUCAAACGAUUCCAUAUGAAUAUUAUAGUGAUAGCUAUUAUUAUAAGAAAACUCUAUAAGAGGUAAGUGAUCAUCACAGUUACCUUUGAAGUCUAAAACGCAAGCCCUCAACAUGUCCUCUAAUGUUUGGACGGU
rnacentral:lncRNA from 1 species